GAUCCUGGCUCAGAGCGAACGCUAGCGGCGGGCUUAACACAUGCAAGUCGAGCGGAGAGCUUCGGCUCUCAGCGGCGAACGGGUGAGUAACACGUAGGUCACGUACCCUUUGAUGGGGAAUAACCUAGGGAAACCUGGGCUAAUACCGCAUAUGUCCUUCGGGAUGAAAGCCUUCGGGCGUCAGAGGAUCGGCCUGCGGCCCAUUAUUUAAUCCUAGUUGGUAGGGUAAUGGCCUACCAAGGGUACGAUGGGUAGCUGGUCUGAGAGGAUGAUCAGCCACACUGGAACUGAGACACGGUUCAGACUCCUACGGGAGGCAGCAGUGGGGAAUAUUGGACAAUGGGCGAAAGCCUGAUCCAGCCACGCCGCGUGGGUGAUGAAGGCCUUCGGGUUGUAAAGCCCUGUCGGGAGGGACGAAUCAAUGACGGUACCUCCCAAGAAAGCACCGGCUAACUCCGUG
rnacentral:rRNA from 1 species